rnacentral:snRNA from 1 species
CUAACGAUACAGAGAUGAUUUGCAUGGCCCCUGUGCAAGGAUGACACUCAAAUUCAUGAAGCAUUCCAUAUUUUG